rnacentral:rRNA from 1 species
UAGGGAAUCUUCCACAAUGGACGCAAGCCUGAUGGAGCAACGCCGCGUGAGUGAAGAAGGUUUUCGGAUCGUAAAGCCCUGUUGUUGGUGAAGAAGGAUAGAGGCAGUAACUGGUCUUUAUUUGACGGUAAUCAACCAGAAAGUCACGGCUAACUACGUGCCAGCAGCCGCGGUAAUACGUAGGUGGCAAGCGUUGUCCGGAUUUAUUGGGCGUAAAGCGAGCGCAGGCGGAAUGAUAAGUCUGAUGUGAAAGCCCACGGCUCAACCGUGGAACUGCAUCGGAAAAUGUCAUUCUUGAGUGCAGAAGAGGAGAGUGGAAUUCCAUGUGUAGCGGUGGAAUGCGUAGAUAUAUGGAAGGACACCAGUGGCGAAGGCGGCUCUCUGGUCUGCAACUGGCGCUGAGGCUCGAAAGCAUGGGUAGCGAACAGG